UGGCGAACGGGUGAGUAACACGUGGGUAACCUGCCCAUCAGAAGGGGAUAACACUUGGAAACAGGUGCUAAUACCGUAUAACAAUCAAAACCGCAUGGUUUUGAUUUGAAAGGCGCUUUCGGGUGUCGCUGAUGGAUGGACCCGCGGUGCAUUAGCUAGUUGGUGAGGUAACGGCUCACCAAGGCCACGAUGCAUAGCCGACCUGAGAGGGUGAUCGGCCACAUUGGGACUGAGACACGGCCCAAACUCCUACGGGAGGCAGCAGUAGGGAAUCUUCGGCAAUGGACGAAAGUCUGACCGAGCAACGCCGCGUGAGUGAAGAAGGUUUUCGGAUCGUAAAACUCUGUUGUUAGAGAAGAACAAGGAUGAGAGUAACUGUUCAUCCCUUGACGGUAUCUAACCAGAAAGCCACGGCUAACUACGUGCCAGCAGCCGCGGUAAUACGUAGGUGGCAAGCGUUGUCCGGAUUUAUUGGGCGUAAAGCGAGCGCAGGCGGUUUCUUAAGUCUGAUGUGAAAGCCCCCGGCUCAACCGGGGAGGGUCAUUGGAAACUGGGAGACUUGAGUGCAGAAGAGGAGAGUGGAAUUCCAUGUGUAGCGGUGAAAUGCGUAGAUAUAUGGAGGAACACCAGUGGCGAAGGCGGCUCUCUGGUCUGUAACUGACGCUGAGGCUCGAAAGCGUGGGGAGCAAACAGGAUUAGAUACCCUGGUAGUCCACGCCGUAAACGAUGAGUGCUAAGUGUUGGAGGGUUUCCGCCCUUCAGUGCUGCAGCUAACGCAUUAAGCACUCCGCCUGGGGAGUACGACCGCAAGGUUGAAACUCAAAGGAAUUGACGGGGGCCCGCACAAGCGGUGGAGCAUGUGGUUUAAUUCGAAGCAACGCGAAGAACCUUACCAGGUCUUGACAUCCUUUGACCACUCUAGAGAUAGAGCUUCCCCUUCGGGGGCAAAGUGACAGGUGGUGCAUGGUUGUCGUCAGCUCGUGUCGUGAGAUGUUGGGUUAAGUCCCGCAACGAGCGCAACCCUUAUUGUUAGUUGCCAUCAUUCAGUUGGGCACUCUAGCAAGACUGCCGGUGACAAACCGGAGGAAGGUGGGGAUGACGUCAAAUCAUCAUGCCCCUUAUGACCUGGGCUACACACGUGCUACAAUGGGAAGUACAACGAGUUGCGAAGUCGCGAGGCUAAGCUAAUCUCUUAAAGCUUCUCUCAGUUCGGAUUGCAGGCUGCAACUCGCCUGCAUGAAGCCGGAAUCGCUAGUAAUCGCGG
rnacentral:rRNA from 1 species